UACGUAGGGGGCAAGCGUUGUCCGGAAUUACUGGGCGUAAAGAGCUCGUAGGUGGUUUGUCGCGUUGUUCGUGAAAACUCACAACUCAAUUGUGGGCGUGCGGGCGAUACGGGCAGACUGGAGUACUGCAGGGGAGACUGGAAUUCCUGGUGUAGCGGUGGAAUGCGCAGAUAUCAGGAGGAACACCGGUGGCGAAGGCGGGUCUCUGGGCCGAUACUGACGCUGAGGAGCGAAAGCGUGGGGAGCGAACAGG
rnacentral:rRNA from 1 species